UACGUAGGAAGCAAGCGUUGUCCGGAAUCACUGGGCGUAAAGAGCGCGCAGGCGGUCGUUCAAGUCGAGUGUGAAAGCCCCCGGCUCAACUGGGGAGGGUCACUCGAUACUGAUCGACUCGAAGGCAGAAGAGGGAAGCGGAAUUCCCGGUGUAGUGGUGAAAUGCGUAGAUAUCGGGAGGAACACCAGUGGCGAAGGCGGCUUUCUGGUCUGCUCUUGACGCUGAGGCGCGAAAGCUAGGGUAGCAAACGGG
rnacentral:rRNA from 1 species